rnacentral:rRNA from 1 species
AUACAGAGGGUGUGAGCGUUAAUCGGAUUUACUGGGCGUAAAGCGUGCGUAGGCGGCUUCUUAAGUCGGAUGUGAAAUCCCUGAGCUUAACUUAGGAAUUGCAUUCGAUACUGGGAAGCUUGAGUAUGGGAGAGGAUGGUAGAAUUCCAGGUGUAGCGGUGAAAUGCGUAGAGAUCUGGAGGAAUACCGAUGGCGAAGGCAGCCAUCUGGCCUAAUACUGACGCUGAGGUACGAAAGCAUGGGGAGCAAACAGGAUUAGAAACCCUAGUAGUCC